rnacentral:rRNA from 1 species
AACAAACGCUGGCGGCGUGCCUAAUACAUGCAAGUCGAACGGGGGAAGAUCCUUCGGGAUCCGGUACUAGUGGCGCACGGGUGAGUAAUGCGUGGAUAAUCUGCCCUCUGGUGGGGAACAACAAGUCGAAAGAUUUGCUAAUUCCGCAUAAGACUACAGUGUCUACGGACACAGGAGUUAAAGGCUUCGGCCGCCAGUGGAUGAGUCCACGUCCGAUUAGCUUGAUGGUGGGGUAAAAGCCUACCAUGGCUCCGAUCGGUAGCUGGUCUGAGAGGAUGAUCAGCCACACUGGAACUGAGACACGGUCCAG